AUGAUCCAGAAAAGCAAGGAGCUGGACAAGGAAUUGCUGCCGGUGUACAAGAAGGCCCAGGACAGGUUUGAGAAGUUUCAGGCCAAUGUCCGCAAGGAUCUGAUCGAGAAGGGUACGCCGAGGUUGACGAAGACUACUACGACAACAGGGACAGAUUUUGGGAAGAGGUGGAGGAAGAGUGGAAAAAGAUUGACUUCAGCCGCUUCCGCAUCGCCAGCAGCGCUGACGGGAUCAUCCGUUAUUCUGGAGGGCGUGGGGAUUAUAAACGAUGAUGAACCUCUUGCCGUCAAACAUCAUGUCUGUCCAUGUAUACAAGCCUGUAUACAACCAAGUUAG
rnacentral:rRNA from 1 species